GGCGAAGGAAACGGGAACUGAAAGCGAUGAAAAGCGUUCCACACGCCACGAGCCCGCGGGAUCCUCGGAGAGUAUGGAACCCUUCCCCUCCGCUCUCAGCCGGAGGCCAGCUGCGUCCAGCCGGGCUCGGUCUUCUGAACACCGAUUUCAAAUCAGGUCCUCGGGGCCCAGCGUCACUUAGGGAAGUGGUGGCAUUUUGUGAUAUAAGAAAGAUUGGAGAACUGUGUGCCUGGCAAUUGCCUUGCUGAAAGGAAGCCCUCAGAAAAAGUUGUUUGAUGGUGAGAGCUGGCCAAGCCAGAAAGACAAACCAAGCGACUUUGAGUGGGGGCUUUGUGUCACAAGGCAUCAGUAGACCUGGAGACUGAGUUCAGGCAAUCAAUCAAUCAAUCAAUCAAUCAGGCCUACAGAAUGAAACUCCAACUAAAAACUGUGGACACCAAAGCUCAGCUGAUUUCCUGGUUGGCAAUACUCCAUGCAUAUUGUCACACAUCAAUGCCAGCUGGUCAGUGGUAGAGGACAAUAAAAGUUUUCACACUUGGAACCUUC
ensembl:lncRNA SCAMP1-AS1 SCAMP1 antisense RNA 1